rnacentral:rRNA from 1 species
GACGACGCUGGCGGCGUUGCUUAAUACAUGCAAGUCGAGCGAGGUUACUGUUUUGGAUCCCUUCGGGGUGAAGAAGCUUUAACCUAGCGGCGGACGGGUGAGUAACGCGUGGGUAACCUACCCCAAAGUCCGGGAUAACAGCGGGAAACCGCUGCUAAUACCGGAUGCCUUUACCUUGGGGCAUCUUGAGGUAAAGAAAGGUAACGCUUUGGGAUGGGCCCGCGUCCCAUUAGCUAGUUGGUGAGGUAACGGCUCACCAAGGCGACGAUGGGUAGCCGGCCUGAGAGGGUGGACGGCCACACUGGGACUGAGACACGGCCCAGACUCCUACGGGAGGCAGCAGUAGGGAAUAUUGCGCAAUGGACGGAAGUCUGACGCAGCGACGCCGCGUGAGCGAUGAAGGUCUUCGGAUCGUAAAGCUCUGUCCUUGGGGAAGAAGGUCUUCGGACUUGACGGUACCCAAGAAGAAAGCCCCGGCUAACUACGUG